GUUGAAACUAAACCUAAUCCCUAUCAGGGAUUGAAAC
rfam:Mastigocoleus testarum BC008 Contig-15, whole genome shotgun sequence.